CUCGAUAGCCCCCGCUUCGCCGGCCCGGACGAUGUAGAGGGCGCGCUCCUCAUCCAUGGCCGCAGGUGCGGGGGAGCCGCGGCCGCUCUGCGCUCCCAAGCCGCUGCCUCCAGGUAAACGCCUCGCGCCCCCGCUCGCUCGCUCCUUCUCAGCUUCCUUCCUUCCCUCCUUCCCUCCCUCCCUCCAGUCUCCAACCCGCCAGCCUCCGCCCGGGCAGGCCCGACGUCACCGCCCCUCAACUUUCACCCCGCGACGUCACCGCUCCCCAAGCAACCGGCGUCUCGCCGCCGUCCCCGACAAGGCCCAGCACUCGGUCGAGGCCCGGAGAGCGGCCUGAGGCGGGGUCAGGCCCGAGACCCUGCUUGCUCUACUCGGUCUCUCAGCCUUAGAGAAGAGCCCAGUCUUUUGAGCGGGCUUUCACGGACAGAACUGUUCUCUCCAGACGCUCCUCUAUGAAUCAUUCUCAGCGGACCAGAACGACCCGGCUUUUCCCCGCCCAUCUGCGGGCCUGCGGCUAAGUGCACUACAAUUCCCUAUAUGCAAUGAGGUCAUCCCACUCUGCCUUCUGAUUUACUGGGGUACCGAAUGGCAUGCCGGGAUUGGUAGUCAUCCAGAAGGACAGACUUCCCCCCCCCCCCUAAGGGCAUGCUGGGAACUGUGGUCCUGCGAGGGCCGGAAACUGGAGUCCGAAGACCGCCUGAGGCCAGCUGCGGCGAGACCGUUAGGGGGAGGGUCUAAGUUUCUGCCGAGCCUGGGUUUUUGUUCUCUACGCCGCUGACCGUCCUGCUCCAGACUUGGCUGGUUGGACUGACUGGCGGUCGCGGAAACUGCCACUCCUUGCGGGGAGCUGUCAAGCGCUGGUUACUUCCCUCUGUUCUGGUUUAGCGGUUUCGGUCUCUGAGAUUCCUGCCUUCCUUCCUCCCUUGCUUGCGGUCGUGUCCUGCAGUCAGUCACGCGGGGAAUGAAAGGCAGUUAUCUCGGGAUGAAAGGGAACUCGGCGAGUUUUUUGCCUUUAUGGUAAAUGCCGCCGCGCGUCUCGUGCCCACGGAGUCCCACACCGUGUUAGGUGGCUUCCAUGGAGCCUCUGAUUUCACAGCACAGAUUUUUUUUUGUGGAACUAAAAGGAACCCGAAGAGGUUCAGCAAUUCGGCCUAAGAGAAGUCGAGAUUUGAAUGCGGGUCUUUCCCUGAAGGUAGAUGUCAGAGUACCGAGGCAGUAGGAGAGGAGGUAGCGAUGGAAGAGGCUCGCAUUGGCGAAAUGUUGACCAGCUGCCAACCACGCACUGUCACAUACUUCCUGUGUUCGCUCAGUUUCUCACAAAUUCAUUCACAAAUAUUGAGAACCUGUGCUGUGGCAGGCACUGUUCAGUGCAGCGUGGGUACAGUGGGCCCCAAAGAAAGUCCCCGUCUUCGCGGAGCUUCGGUGCUAGUGAGCAACUAACUCUUUGAACAACUCUGUUACAAUCAUGAGGAAACAGCCUUAGGUUAAUUAACUUAUCAAAAUUGCAGAUUUUGGAAACUGUGAAUUUAGAGCCCGUGCUUUUUCUGUUCUCCCAGGCUUUUUGGUGAGAGUGGAUAAAUUCUCCAAGCGGAGUCCAAGUUCUGCACUCUAAGCAAUUGUCUUUGAUGCCACCCCCUCCAGCCUGUCCUUCUUGAGCUGUGUUGAAAAGGAAAUGGAGUACAGUUUAUUCAUCUAAUAAUUUUUUUUUCUACAUUGUGCUAAGUAUUCUGCUAGACUUUGGGAAUUUGGAGGUUAAAAAAAAAAAAAAAAAAAAAAAACACUAAGCCUGUGGGACUUUUGGUUUUUCUGAGGUUUAUACUUUUCAUGGAGCAAACAUUUAUUGAGCAUAUUGUUGAGCCCCAGGCAUCAUGGUGUGUUAGUCAGCUUUCCAUUACUAUUACAGAAUACCUGAAAUAACCUAAUAAGGGAAAAGAUUUAUUUUGGCUCAUAAUUUUAAUGAAUGGUUGAUUGGCCCCCACUGCCUUUGGGCCUGUGGUGGGAAGUUGAGGUGGAAGAAACUGCUCACUCAUAGCAACUAGGAAGCAAAGAAGUAGAUUAAGGGGCAGGAGUCCCAAUGUCCUCUGUACACCAUUCCCCAAUGACUUAACUUCCUUCAACUAGGUCUCACUAACUAUCAGUAGUGCCAUGGGCUGGAGACCAAGCUUUACCACAUGGUACUUUGAGGGACAUUUCAGAUCUAAAUUAUGAGCAGGAUAAGUGCUGCAUCUGUAAUGAAUUGUAGGAAAGAUUUAAUCCAUCUCUUGAAAAAGCACUCUUAGGUCAUGAAACCGUAAGCCACAAUCCUAAGAUGAUAAUAAUAUCUUGCAAUUAUUAACAGUUUAUAAAACAUUUUAAUAUACAGUAUCUCAAUGGAUCAUUGAAGAAGGUAUUGUCCUCACUUCAUAGAUAAGAAAACAGGGUCAUGUGAAUUAAUUAACAUCAAUGGGACUGAAACUUUUAGCUGUUGACAAAUAUUUGGAUACCUACUCUGUGUCCAGUAAUGUACUAAGUGCUUUUUGGGUAACCUUAUAUUUAUUUUUGGAAUAAGGUUCUCCUGAAGAGGAUAUUAACAAACAAUUAUCCCAGUAAAGAUGUUUCCUUUAAAAAGGGUCUUACACGUGUCUUGGAAGUGUCUGUCUGCUAGAAAUAAGCUAUGUUUUUAUGCUUUCAAUCCUAUACUUCUAAAAAGAGAUGGAAAAAAUGUGAAAUCACAUGAAUUAAUGGCUUGAGAAAUUGUAUUUUAGUAAUUUUAAUUGUUAAUAUUCUGAUUUCAUAAUGAAAGGAUCUUUGAUUGUAAUUCAAGUCAUCCUUUAACCACUGAUGAGACUCUGGUCCCUGAAAAAUUAAAUGGUUUGUCCAAAGUCAAUAGUGAAAAGCAGACACUGGGACAAAGCCUAGACUAGCCACUUCAUCACUGUACCUCCGUAAGUAUUAGUUAUGUGAGACUUUCAGUGACCAGAGACUUUUGUCCAGCACUCACUCCAGUACGUAUGGAUUUUUAGGUGGCAUGGUACCAAGGAAUUAGGAUUUAGAGCCUUCGUGAUCAAAGCAAUAAGUCACUUAUUCUCAAGUCAGUGCUCUGAGAGAAUGUAAUAACAUAGAUGAAUAGUGCCUCACUAUGGUCAAAAUAUAUUCACAUGAAUAUCUGAUUUAACCCUUAUAAUAACUGAAAAUGUAAGGUUAAUAGGACAGGCACUAUCUUCUUUCUUACAGAGAAAGGGGAAGUUCAGGGUGUCUAUUAGCUUACUCAUGAGCAAAUAAGUCUGCUAAUAAGUGGUAUCAUUAAGGGGUAAGUGCUUUGGGCUCUGAUAACAAAAUGUUAUGGACUUUCAAGUUAGUGCCAAUGAAAAAGCCUGCAAAUAGAUACUAGUCAUUUAUUUUGGACUUUGAUAUAUCCUGCUGUGGCAUUUCCUCUUGCCAUGACAAUGGACUCGUUGGAAUGUGCCAAAUUCAAGGUCUUUAAGGAGUACCUGGUGCUAACAGCUUUUAAAAUCCACACUUCCACUUGCAAUACUUCUGUAUGUUUUCUUUAGAAUAAAGCAGAAAUUUAGAAAUUAAACAAAUCAGUCUAGUGAUUGCAACUCCAGAAUUGGAGUUCAGAGCAUUAUAUUCAUUUAAGGUGAGGUAGUAUAAAAAACAAAAACAAACAAACAACAACAACAACAAAAAAACAAAAAAAUGAUAGGUAGAAAGGAGACAAAGGAUGAAAAAGGAAAUUGUAGCUUUAAUCUGAAAACCUUGGGCUAAAAUUCCUCAUUCCUUUUCUCCCCAGACCAGUUUUCUCUCCUAGUCCUGUCACUCCCAAAUUCUUGAGAAAUCUGUAAAUGUUAAAGUUACUGUAAAUUCACUCACAAUGUUAAAGUUACUGAACAUUCACUCACUUAUGAAAAUUGCCUGGUGCACUGUGAAUUUGCCUACACAAUGUACUAACACAUGUAUUUUUAGAUUAGAUCAAACAAAGGGAGAUAUCAUAUUUUAAGGAAUCUGUAAUAUAGGGUACAUUGCCAAGGUUAUCUGCUGAUCAGAUAGAAGAGACAAUGUCAACCUAAAGACCCUGAGAAUGGCCAGACCACCAUAAACUGUAUUGUGAUCACCAGGCUGAUGUCAUACCCACAUACCAUUCCAUGCCCAUCCUUCAUAAAGCUUUCUUUAGAAGUCUGAGAUUCCAAAGCACUCUUCUCACUCUCAAGAUAACUGGCAUUCUUCCCUAAAAAUAUGAAUAAUCACCUUUCACUUUUUUUUUUUUAAUACCAGAGAUUGAACCCAGAGGCGCUUAUCCACUAAGCCACAUCCCCAGCCCUUUUUUUGUAUUUUAUUUAGAGACAGGGUUUCACUGAGUUGCUUAGAGCCUCAGUAAGUUGCUGAGGCUGGCUUUGAACUCACAAUUAUCCUGCCUCAGCCUCUGGAGCCACUGGGAUUACAAGUGUGUGUCCCUCCCCCCCCCCCAAGUAGAGGUUUCUUCGCCUCCUCAAGCACCCUAAUGGUGACAAAGACACCACCUAUGUGAGGCCACUCAUUCCAGUAUCCUCAGCUAUAAAACAAAGGAAUUGAUCCAAGUAUUAUUUUUCUCUUAGUUCUAAAAUUUUGUGAUUUUAAAACAAAAAACAUUGAUUAGAUAUGUUCAAUCUUAAGAAAAAUGUAUUAAUAAGAGGGUUUGCAUACAUCAACUACAAAUACUAUGAUAUAUGCAAAUUAUUGCUUGAGCAUACCCACAAAGAUUCUACUUCAGUUGAAAUAAGCCAGUAGGAUUGAAAACCACUUAACCAAUAUUUUGGUAAAGGAUCAACCACUGGACUAGAUUUUAAACUCAUGUGCUUAUAACUUAGUCUUUGAGAAAUUAGAAUAACCUGGCAAAAUGUAAGUUACUCUUUUCUUUUUCUACCAAGAAUGAAGACUCAGGCUUGGCAUGUAGUGGUAAAAUGCUUGCCUAGCAUGUGCAAGGCCCUGAGUGUUUAAUCCCCAGCACCAUAAAAAAGAAAAAAGAAUGAAGUCAACCUUUCAGCAAAGCUGAUCAAUAUAAUUUUUUAAAAAGAAAUACUUAGUGCUCUUUGGAGCACAGCAUUGUCUUAGACAUCAUGAAAAUUAAAAAGUAGAAAUAAUUGAUCCUCUUUUGUGGAUGUAAGAUACAAUAAAUUGAUUUUACUGAUAAGGAAAUUGUACAUAGUUACUGUACAGAUCAAAGCAAGAUAAACUUAAUUGGAAGGGGAGAAUCAGAGAAGCCUUCUUGGAGGAGUUGAGCUAUAGAGAAUGAUGAAGAGAGUUUAAGAGAGCUCCCAGACUGGGAAAAUGCUGUGUGAACAGGUCAGGAGGCCAAAAUUAAGAUGUUUAUUGACAGAUGAUACUGACUUGGUUAAACUUGAAAGCCAGCCACGGAUUUCUUAGAGAUCAGUUUGGUCAGUGGGAUAAACCUGAGAGAUAUUUCAUAAUCAUUGAUGGCUUUAUUACCAGCCAGUCCAGCUUCAGUUUAUAAUGUGUUACAUUCCUGAAAACAACCCUACAAUGCCAAAUGACAUAAAAUUAAGUAAAAUGGGGAGACAGGAAAGGAGGGAGGGUCUGUUGCUGGCUGGCUUCAGAUCCUUAUGCACAUUUUGUCUCUGGAUUCCAUUUAGAAAAUUAAAUAGGAUGUAGAUGACUUCAAAAUUUUUUUAACACUUAAACAUUUAUGAUCACUUGAUCCCAGCCUUUCAGUACCUUUAUGAGAUUCCUUAGUAAUGUUUUCAGUAUUCUCGUUGAGCCUGUUCCAUUAGUCCUUGGCAGAUUUACCUAUAGUUGUUUAAUAGUGACUGUUUACAGUGGGGCUCUCACAUGAAAUGGGCCCUGCCCUUUGGUAGUUUUUUGGGUUUUUUUAAUCCAAGAGUUGGAAUGUGGGUCAGACCUAUUUGCAUCUCACUCACUUGGAAUCUCAUCCAAACACCUCUUGGGAAAACCCAGCGCUUUGGGUGGCAGUGUAAUAAUGUGUUGAAAGAACCUGGAUUGGGAAUUGGAAAACCUGGUAUUUACUCCCACCUCACUACUAGAGGAGUCUCAGAAGCCUAUGGUUGUCAAAUAGGCUUGAAACCCUUCUGGCAAAAAAAUUUUUUUUUUUUUGGUAUGUAAAAAUAUGAAAGCAGAGAGACUCUUGUUUGAAUUUUAACUUUGUCUCUGUGUUUGGAGUUAAGGCAUUUGCCCUCUUUGAGCAUGAAUUUCUCAACUGUAAUGAGCAUAAUUUCAUCUCCUCCACAGGAUGUUGAAAGAGUUAAAAGAGAUGGCUGUCGAAGUAGCUGGCACAGGAGACCUGGCAAGGAGUGACCACUCAAGUGUUAACUGAACUGGAUUGAAAAACUGAACAUUCCUCACAAGGAAUGCUGUGAAGAUUCAGGACUCAAGGCUGUUAUUCCUAUGGGAGCCUAAAUGCAUGAAUUUUCAGUUGUUGGUGCUGUGGCUGCGGUUGUUUUUAACAACAACAAAAAACAAAAAGUAAUUCCAACUGCUUUGGUAUUUAAGCCUUUGGAAUAACAUCUUUAACACUGAUAUGGUAUAAAAUUUUGAGAUCAUGACUGGUUUUGUGGGGGGGGGGGUGUGUGAGAUAAGGAGUCUAAAAUGCUCCUUCAGCCCCCUCCCCAUAUCAAUGCCUUUGCAUUCUCACAACUCUUCUUCCCACCACCUUUUGCAGUAAAGCAUUAAUUUACUUACCAACAUUUGAUUAAACUCUUAAGGUUCAACCCUAGAGGAGGUGGCAGUGGACAAAGAAUUAUUGUCAUUCAUCAUCAACACAUUUUAGACUUCCCCUCCAGUUGCCUAUGAAGGAUUAGCAUUUUCCUGAAAGGAGGAGGACAGAAUAAAUUGCAUCUACGGCCAAAGAACUGCCAACUCCUUUCAGCUGGGGGCACAUACCGGGAGCUUUUCCCAUAUUAGUCAGCUUUAUCUCAACUUUUGGGCAGGGCCUACAUCUGAAUUUCAUGGGUUUCAGGGUCAGUCAAAACAGAAUUGUAGGGUUGUUGAGGUCAGAGGCCACCUCUGUCAAAGGGUAGUGACCUUAACAGCAAGAGGUAGUCAGGCCUCCUCUUUCUCCCCCACCGCACCCCACCCCACCCCAAUGACUUCAUUCCAGCCAGUGCUUGGCUCAUUGCUCCUCCCCUGCAGAGCUUUUUUCAACCUGGUAAUAAAAAAUCCUCCUGUG
rnacentral:lncRNA from 1 species